GUUUUUGUUAAUGCUAUUAUUAUUAAUUCAUGGCAAGCUCCUUAAGAACCAGAUCUAGUGCUUGACACAGUGUUUGGCUACAGAAUUAGCACUCACUAAAUAUUAAUUGCCAAAUUAACAUUAAUGCUAAUAUUUCAGUAAUGUAAUCUCCAAAUACUUUUAAGAUAAUGAGUGGUUUAUUCCAGGCUCUGAGGAAAUUUCUUCUUUUAAUACUGCUGAAAUCUUUCCAAGCAAUAAUUGAAACUCACCUUGCUGGCAGCUAUCCUAACUAGCUAAUGCCUUGUUCAUACUGCUUAAUUACUAAAAACCCACCACCUUGGGAUUAUGCAUAUCCUAACUGGCCAUUUCUGGUCCCUGAUGUGACACUUUUGAAGCACUGAAACUUUUUAUAAGUACCAAGGAUUGAACCCUGGGGUGCUUAAACGCUGAGCCACAUUCCCAGUUCUUUUUAAUUUUUAUAUUGAGAUGGGGUCUCCUUAGGAUCUUAUGACCUUGCUAAAUUGCUGAGACUGGCCUUUAACUUGUACUCCUCCUACCUCAGCCUCCAAAUCACUGGGAUUACAGGUGUGAGCCACCAUGCCCAACUUUAGAGUACAUUAUUUUAAAGUUAUAAUAUUUUUAAGUUCAAUGACAAGUAGGAAAAAUGGUGGAUUUGUCUGUUUAAUUUUUAAAAUUUGAGAUGGAGUUUCUCUGUAGCUCCAGCUAUCUUCAAAUUUACAGUCUUCCUGCCUUAGCCUCUCAAGUAGCUGAGUUUACUGGAGGGGCCAUCACUAUUGGCUCAUACCUUAUUCUGUUUGCAAAUUGGUUCUUUUUUGAGGAAUCAUCCAGAUUUCUAUAGUUUGCCAUUUGUAAAUUAAUGUCUACUAAUAACAAAGAACUACAACAUACCGCUAUAAUAUCUAAAGUUUCAUUUCCUGCUGUUCACUUAUGUUGAUGCUGGGGGUCUCUUACUCUGAGUCUAUGGAAUUAUUUGUAUAGCUUCUGCCUGUCUAAUCAGUGGUGCUAGUGAUUGAACCUGAGGGCCUCAUGUAUGCUACACAUUCACUCUCAGACUGAACCAUGCCCAUCCCUCUAUUUUGACGUUAAUGUAUGUGUCCAAGCCCAUGACUUCUUUCCACCUUCUGUCAUACUCCAGUUUUCAGAUCUGACCCUCUUUCUUGGCCUGCUUCAUCUAGUUUAUUAGGACUGCUUUGCUCUUAUCAGUGCUGUCCAUGAACCCAUAAGCCAACUAAUGCUUCACUAUAUGUUGCCAGUUCUCAAAGCAAUUCUGCUAAACUGACUCAGUGUGAGGAUCAAACCCAGUGCCUCACGUGCUAAGCAAGUGCUCCACCACUAAGCCACAACCCCAGCCCUGUGAUAAGGCCUUUUCACCAAGUAUUGCCUUACUAAUUUUUCUCACAAGCUCAUUAGAUGUGACUGAACGUUUCCUUUCACUUCUUCCCUUCUGGUUCCAAUGAGUCCAUAGAAAAUAUUAGGAUGCUGGCAAGUAAGUGUUUUUGAAGUGAUGUGUGAAGCCUUUUCCAUGUUCUUCUAUGAGAAUUGGGCUCAUUCUCCACUCUUUGUUCUGUCAUGGUAUAUAUAGUAAAGAAAAUAAAUUUUAAAAAUAAAAGGUUUUUGGGCUGGGAUUGUGGCUCAGUGGUAGAGUGCUCACCUAGCACAUGCAAGGCCCUGGGUUCGAUCCUCAGCACCACAUUAAAAAAAAAUAUUGUGUCCAACUACAACUAAAAAAUAUGUUUAAAAGUUUAAUU
rnacentral:lncRNA from 1 species